UUUUGCCUCAUCAAACAGGCGCACACCACAUUUGAACAAACAAAUACAAAUCUUUGAAGCACUAGGGGGGUAACCAUUGCACAUGACUUCAUGUGUGCCUUCAUCAUAGAAAAAUAGACUGAAUAUCGCCAAGUUCUAAGGUUGAAUAAAUGAAUCAUAUAGAAUAUUGUCAAAACCCCACAUUUUUCUCACUAAAACAAACUUAUGUACUUGCAUACAACCCUCUUUGAACUUGUAUGGCACCUAGUGCUCAACUUGGACGAUGACCAGUGGUCAACUCGAACAGAGGAGCUUCCAUUACAGUGGAGAAGACAUUGACAUGCACUGGAGCUUUGGCGUGCUAGAGUGAUACACUUCGCGCCUAACUCAAUGUCACGGUACCCUGCACACACACCAGCCAACAAUUAACCACGUUGACUAUUUGAACUGUAUGAAAUUUAGAAAUUGAACUAACAAAAGAAACUAGACGCCAUAGGUACAUCAAAUAAAAAACUAGAGUAGUUAGUACCAACUACUAAACUAAUGUCUUGGAUAUUCAAAAAUUAAACGCAUCAAAAGAAAAAAAUACAUGUUUUAUGCUCUCAAACUCUUGCAUAUAUAUUUGAACUGAUGGUUUCUCUCAUUGAACAUUACUGCCUCGCAAGUAUGAACUAUGCGAACUUUAUUCUGGCCGAACUAUUACAAAUUUUCUAUACAGUGAACUACCAUACAAUAUAAAACUGAUUUUUUUUAACACAACACUGCACUGAUUCAACUUUCCAUUAUGAACUGAUGAUAAAAUACAUACUGGGCUGCUACACUAGUAGCAAAUUCAUGAAUACAUGACAUUUUUUCUUUUAUGGAGACAUACAUUUGUACCUUUUAAACAAUUAUACUUGUACUACCACAAAAAAUGAAGCAUAUGUACACAAGCAAACAACAUUAGUACACAAGCAGUGUGGUUGAAAUUAGACACCUCAGUACAAGCAAGCAAUGUUCAUCUAUUAGUAUCAUACUACAGGUGGAAGUAGACUGAACCGUGUCACUUUCAGUAGCAGACACGAAGCAAAUUAUUAUUUUCGAACUGAUGAUGAAACACAUAGUGAACGAUUACACAUAGUGUAUGUUUUAGUUGUACAAACAUGGGAAGAUACUAUGUUCACAUCCUUUCUGCAACUUCGUAUCCAGAGAGUGGAAGAAGACAAAAUUGGAUUCAACUUAUGAAUUUGAUUUUCGUGUUGCACCAACAUGCUUCAUAACCGAAUCCGAAUGGGGUAACGCAAUAUGCAACAAUGGAAAUUUUGGAUAGAUAACCAUAUGACAUCCAAUCUACAUACAUGGAAAAUUGGGAAUCUAGUUGCAGCCUACAUGACUCACCGCAUAUAGGGCACACUCAUCUUCCAUGCCGCCAAAGCGAGUGCUAGCCUGCCAAGAAAAUGGCCGUUGGGGUUCGACUCUCCGAUGUCCUAGGCGGAGGAGGCUUCGUCUCUCACUUGCCCUCUCUGUUUGGUUUGCUGCCACCCGACUAGAGCAUUGCAGUGCAGCCAAAGAAUUCCCAUAAUAUACAUAAGCAAACCACAAAUGCUAACAAUAUGCAUUUUUUAGGUUACCAAGACAUCAGU
rnacentral:lncRNA from 1 species